CUAAGACAGGGGAUUUACAUUUUGGAGAAAGAGCGAGUUCUAGAGAGAGAAACCCCUUUUUAGAGAGAGAAAGCCAGACGGAGAAGAAGAUUGGAUCCAAACCAAAAAGGUAACUAGCUCGAAGCCCUACUGUGUUUUGUCCUCCGAAUCCCAAAUCGUUCUGUAUCUUUUGUCUAUAUUGAUUGUACAUAUAGCUAGUUCUGUGUCGAUCUGUGCUUGUAGAGGUCAAGAUUCAGUGAAUUGAGGGAGAUUCGAGAGCGGCGUUUUAUCUAUAUAGGGUUGGUUUGGGGAAAGGAACCCUAUAUUGAAUUUUGAUUCUUCGUGAAGUCAGGGUUUUUAGGGUUUUGCUGGAGAGACAAAAGCCCUAAAAGAUUUGUUUUUGAGUGCAAGGAAAACACAGGGGAUUAGGGUUUUUCCUGGGGUACAUGUAUGGCGUCGGGGACUAUAGUUCGAGAAGGAACUGAAGGCAAUAAAGAGAAGCAGCGCUAUACGGAGAGCAAGGUGUACACAAGGAAAGCCGUUAAAGGUCCAAAGAAGAACAACACCGCUGCCCCGACCACUACCACCGACACGAACGCUAACAACAACACCACCAGCUUCACUGCCAAUACUGCAAACAACAACGAGGACAACAAUAAUAUCUCCAGUAAAGAUGGUGGCAUCGAUAAUGACGGGAAUAAGAAGAAUGACUCAAUUCAAGAACUUUCCCAAGCCCUAGCCACUGCGGAAGUGGAUUCCUCCCAGCAGCAGGUUGUUUCACGACUAGAUGUGGGGUCGGAUGACACUUCGAGUCUUAACAGGCAGCAAGAGGUGGAACCUGUCGUAUGUGAACAGCCUUCAGGAAAUGGGGCCAUGAAGGAGGGCUCAGAGGAUCGAUGGAAAGUUAAUGUGCCUUCAUUGUCCAAGAAUGAGGUGCGGGAGUUAAGGAUGAAGCUGGAGGGCGAGUUGGCUAUGGUGAGGAGUUUGGCAAAGAAGAUUGAAGAGAAAAAGGGGCCUAUUAGUGGUGGUGUCUCUGUCAGUGAGGGUAGUGGCAGGGGUGUGGUUAGUCAUUCAUGCGUGCCUUUGAACUUUGGGUUCAAUCAUGGAGUGAAGAUGGUUCAUUCUGAGGUGGCCUCAGCUCGAGUUCCAGUUGAGGGUUUUACUCCUAGGCAGUCUAAGUCCUUGAAUCAAUUGAGUAUACCGACGUUGGAGAAUAGUCAGGGUGCAGUUGAAAAUGUGGAGAAAGAGAAAAGGACUCCAAAGGCUAAUCAGUUCUAUAGGAAUUCAGAGUUUUUACUUGCGAAAGACAAGUUUCCUCCAGCUGAGAGCAACAAAAGGGCAAAAUUGAAUGGGAAGAAGCACGGAGGACGGGAAGUGGGACAUGGGUUUAGGCCAGGUAGUAAGGUUUUUAAGAGUUGUAGUGCUUUGCUUGAGAGAUUGAUGAAGCAUAAGCAUGGCUGGGUGUUUAAUACGCCUGUUGAUGUUAACUCUCUGGGUUUACAUGACUAUUUUACUAUUAUUAAACAUCCGAUGGACUUGGGCACUGUGAAGUCGAAGCUGAAUAAGAACCGGUAUAAGUCACCAAUAGAAUUCGCAGAGGAUGUAAGGCUUACAUUUAGUAAUGCGAUGACUUAUAACCCCAAAGGGCAAGAUGUCCACAUAAUGGCUGAGCAAUUGUCGAAGAUAUUUGAGGAGAAAUUGGCUGUUAUAGAGUCAGAUUAUAAUCGUGAGAUGAUGCUACUCAGUGUUGAUUAUGCAAUGGGAAUUUAUACACCAACUUCAAGAAAGGCCCCUCCUUUUCGGCCACCUCCACUUGAUGUGAGGAGGAUUUUGGAUAGAUCAGAAUCAAUGACACAUCCUCCUCCCCUUCCUUCAGUAAGGACUCCUGCUCCGAAGAAGCCAAAGGCAAAGGAUCCACAUAAGAGGGAUAUGACAUAUGACGAGAAGCAGAAGCUUAGCACAAGCCUUCAGAGUUUACCAUCAGAGAAGCUGGACAACAUUGUUCAGAUCAUUAAGAAGCGGAAUUCAACACUAUUUCAACAGGAUGAUGAAAUUGAAGUGGAUAUUGAUAGUGUUGAUACUGAGACUCUCUGGGAACUUGACCGGUUUGUAACCAACUACAAAAAGAGUUUGAGCAAGAACAAGAGAAGGGCUGAACUUGCCAUGCAAGCAAGAGCAGAGGCUGAGCAGAAUGUCCGACAACAACUCCCAACCCCAGUUGUGGCAGAGGCACCAAAAGAAAUGGAAAUAGCAGAUGGAAGGAAUGGCGCCUCCUCUUUACCUGUUGAAGGGGGAAAAGGGGGGGAUAAUGCAAGUAGGUCAAGUAGUUCAAGCAGCUCUAGCAGUGAUUCUGGAUCUUCUUCAAGUGACUCUGAUAGUGACAGCUCCUCGACAUCUGAGUCCGAUAUAGGGCAUUCACCUAGGACUUGACAUAUUUUGUUCAGGAAUAUUUUUGUAUUUGGAUGAGCCAAUUAUAGUGGACAUUCAGUGAAUAUGUGAUGCCUCUGCGAUUGAAAAGCAUGGUAGUAAGCUGUUGCACUAUCUUCUUAAAAGACCCACAACUUGGAGAUGGUCCAGAUCUGAGAGCAACCUAACUGAUGCAAGACACAUAAAGGUCACUGGAGCAAAUUCAAAGACAAAGGAAUCUAGAUUUUAUUGUCUAUUUGAGAACCAAUAGUCUUUUCAAGGCUGUUCAGAAAGUUAAGACUACAUUGGAAUUCUACAAGAUGGUGAUUUUGGUCUUCAUAUUUCGGAAUUGGGAAAAGCUCUCAAUGCCGCCAAGCCUUCUUGCCACUGCAAUGUGGGGUCUUUUGUCAUCCUAUCGGCUGAAUCUGUCCGUGUCCCUGAACGUGGCUUAUUCGCGUGGUUAGAGAUUUGUAUAAUAUAAGGUAGAAUAUGGAGAUGGUGAUUAGAUACAAGAUGGUUUGUAUGCGUAGCACAUGUAGAUGACUAACUUCAGCUACACACACUAGUCUCAGCCUGACUGUACUUGAUUAUGUAGUGUUAGAUUCAGGAUUUUUUUUUGGGUGGUAUUAUACACAAGCUAGUCUGUAGGCCAAGUUCAUGAAGUCGUAAUUCACUUCCACAAGGGUUCUUCCUUGGUAUUGCUUUGGCUUGUUCUGUAGUUGUUUGUCUGGACUGAUUUUGAUUGUACUAUGAAAAUGAACAUGAGAGGGAGACUUAGCUCGGCCAUGCUAUCUCAACCUCUAA